rnacentral:rRNA from 1 species
GAUGAACGCUGGCGGCGUGCUUAACACAUGCAAGUCGAACGGAAAGGCUCCUGCUUGCAGGGGUUCUCGAGUGGCGAACGGGUGAGUAACACGUGGGUGAUCCGCCCCGCACUUCGGGAUAAGCCCGGGAAACUGGGCUGAAUACCGGCUAUGACAGCGGUUUGGAUGCCAUUGUGGAAAGCACUUUCGGUGUUGGAUGCGCCCGCGGCCUAUUCACACUUUGGUGGGGGAAUGGCCAACCAACGCGUAGACGGGGACUCUGACUGAGAGGGUGUACGGGAACGUUGACACUGAGAAACGGACCAGACUCCUACUGAAGGCAGCAGUGGGAGAUGGUGCACAAUGGGCGCAAGCCUGAUGAAGCGACGCAGCGGAGGGGAUGACGGCCUUCGGGUUGUAAACUCCUAUCGCUAGGGACAGAGCAUUAUGUGACGGUACCUAGAGAGAAAGCACCGGCUAACUACGUG